AAUAAACGUUUGCGGUGCGCUUUAUGCAUGCAAGUCGUACGAGGUUGUAGUACUUGUACUGUAACCUAGUGGCGAACGGCUGAGUAAUGCGCAAGUAACUUACCUUGGAGUGGGGGAUAAUUUGCCGAAAGGCAGGCUAAUACCGCAUGUGAUAGUUGGGGAUGCUCAACUAUUAAAGCUGUAAAGUGCUCUGAGAAAGGCUUGCGCCCGAUUAGCUAGUUGGUGAGGUAACGGCCUACCAAGGCAACGAUCGGUAGCUGGUCUGGGAGGAUGUCCAGCCAGAUGGGGACUGAGACACGGCCCCAACUCCUACGGGAGGCAGCAGCAAGGAAUAUUGGGCAAUGGGCGAAAGCCUGACCCAGCGACACCGCGUGAGGGAAGAAGGCCCUCGGGUUGUAAACCUCUUUUCUUAGGGAAGAAUUCUGACGGUACCUAAGGAAUAAGUCUCGGCUAACUACGUGCCAGCAGCCGCGGUAAUACGUAGGAGGCGAACGUUAUUCGGAUUUACUGGGCGUAAGGGGAGUGUAGGCGGCUCUUCAAGUCAAGUGUGAAAUCUUCUGAGUCAAUCAGAAGGGGUCACUUGAUACUGUUGGGCUUGAGGGCAGCAGAAGGAAAUGGAAUCCCCAGUGUAGCGGUGAAAUGCGUGGAUAUUGGGGAGAACACCAGUGGCGAAGGCGAUUUCCUAGGUUGUUUCUGACGCUGAGGCUCUAAAGCGUGGGGAGCGAAGCGGAUUAGAUACCCGCGUAGUCCACGCCGUAAACGGUGGACACUAGAUAUAGGGAGUAUCGACCCUUUCUGUGUCGAAGCUAACGCUUUAAGUGUCCCGCCUGGGGAGUACGGUCGCAAGGCUA
rnacentral:rRNA from 1 species